rnacentral:lncRNA from 1 species
UCGACUCGUACUAUUCUGGAGUCGACUCGAGUCUCAGACUUUGGCUCAAACUGACUUCUUAACUUAUCAAAAUAUCUUGAACCAAAUCUAGAAACACUUAGACAAGAUUUUCACUGAAACACUCAAUUGAAUUCAUUAGUAAACAAAAGAUAUACUCAAAUGCUUUGAGCUCAUGAAAAUCAAAUAGGGUUUUAAUCAAUC